CGAGGUUAGCGCGCGCCGGCGCUGCAGACUUCUGGGCCAGGGCGGCCGUGACCGUGCCCAUGGCCGACCAUGGCGUGGUCGCCGGCAAGCGCACCGUCGCGGGGACUUUCUCCAGGCUCAGGGAGCAGGUCAAGACUGCAUUUAUCCCAUUCAUCACUGCGGGUGAUCCUGACUUGGCAACCACAUCGAAAGCAUUGAAGAUCCUCGAUUCCUGCGGUUCAGAUGUGAUUGAGGUUGGCGUACCAUACUCGGAUCCGCUGGCUGAUGGGCCGGUUAUUCAGGCAUCUGCAACACGUGCACUUAAGAAAGGCACUACCCUAGAAUCUGUCAUAGGGAUGCUGAAAGGGGUUGCACCUGAGUUGUCUUGUCCUAUAGUUCUUUUCACAUACUACAACCCAAUUCUGAAGCGUGGGGUGCGAAACUUCAUGGCUACUAUCAGACAAGCUGGCAUAAAUGGACUUGUAGUACCUGAUCUUCCUUUGGAGGAGACAGUGUUGCUGAGGAGCGAGGCCAUUAUGCACAGCAUAGAGCUGGUUCAUCCUCACUCUCAUUGUUUAUAUACUACUCACACAAAAUUUAAAUUUAUUGUAUGUUUCCAUAGUUGUGUUGCUAUCAAGUUCCUAACUAAAUUCUCUCUCGAGAUGAGACCUACCUAUCUUCAGCUUGGCUCAGUCCAGCCCAGGCCUCCAAAAAUACACAGUUGCAAAAGAUCUUCUAGGGCAUUGUAUCAGCCUGCCCCUAGAAGCAAGAUCUAGUCUACUUGGCUCACACAUGUCAGGCGGGUGCUGCUUACAACGCCAACCACGCCAACAGAGAGGAUGAUAGAAAUUGUAAAAGCUUCAGAAGGAUUUCUUUAUCUUGUGAGUGCUGUUGGAGUUACAGGUGCACGCUCAAAUGUAAACUUACGUGUGGAACAUCUUCUUAGGGAGAUUAAGAAGGUUACAGACAAACCUGUAGCUGUUGGCUUUGGUGUAUCAACUCCAGAGCAUGUAAAACAGAUCGCAGGCUGGGGAGCAGAUGGUGUGAUUAUUGGGAGUGCAAUUGUUAGACAGUUAUGUGAAGCUGCUACUCCUGAAGAAGGGCUGAAAAGGCUAGAGGAGUACACCAGGAAUAUAACAGCUGCCAUGCCAUUGAGGUGAUCACGCCCAUCAUGAGCAAGCUGAUUAGAACACAACAGAAUACCGAUUUCAGUGGUAGUCUGGUCAAGGAUUAGCACCCGUAGUUCAGCUAGUGUUUGUGGCAGCUCCGCCUAAAUUAAUCCGGCUUAAGUGUGCUAACCAUCACCGAAACGGCAACCAGGGUUAACAUGCACUUAAAA